GUCCACGCUGUAAACGAUGAGUGCUGGGUGUCGCGGGCAUUGACCCCUGCGGUGCCGUAGCUAACGCGUUAAGCACUCCGCCUGGGGAGUACGGCCGCAAGGCUAAAACUCAAAGGAAUUGACGGGGGCCCGCACAAGCGGUGGAGCAUGUGGUUUAAUUCGACGCAACGCGCAGAACCUUACCCGUGGCUAGAAAAGGCAGGAAGUCGGAUGAAAGUCUGAUGUGCCCGCAAGGGAACCUGUGUCCAGGUGCUGCAUGGCUGUCGU
rnacentral:rRNA from 1 species